rnacentral:rRNA from 1 species
AACGAACGCUGGCGGCAUGCCUAACACAUGCAAGUCGAACGAGACCUUCGGGUCUAGUGGCGCACGGGUGCGUAACGCGUGGGAACCUGCCCUUAGGUUCGGAAUAACUCCCCGAAAGGGGUGCUAAUACCGGAUAAUGUCUUCGGACCAAAGAUUUAUCGCCUUUGGAUGGGCCCGCGUUGGAUUAGCUAGUUGGUAGGGUAAAAGCCUACCAAGGCGACGAUCCAUAGCUGGUCUGAGAGGAUGAUCAGCCACACUGGGACUGAGACACGGCCCAGACUCCUACGGGAGGCAGCAGGGGGAAAUAUUGGACAAGGGGCGAAAGCUUGAUCCAGCAUUGCCGCGUGAGUGAGGAGGCCCUUGGGGUUUAAAACCUUUUUUCCCCGGAAUGAUAAGGACAGUCCGGGGAAAAAAACCCCCGCCAACCCCCGUC